rnacentral:rRNA from 1 species
GACAGAGGUCCCGAGCGUUAGGCGGAAUCACUGGGCUUAAAGCGUGUGUAGGCGGAUCGUUAAGUACCUUGUGAAAUCCCACGGCUUAACCGUGGAACUGCUUGGUAUACUGGCGAUCUUGAGCCACUUAGGGGCUACCGGAACAAAUGGUGGAGCGGUGAAAUGCGUAGGAUAUCGGGAAGAACACCUAUGGCGAAGGCAGCUCUCUGGGACGGUACUGACGCUGAGACGCGAAAGCGUGGGGGAGCGAAACAGGG